AAUCAACGCUGGCGGCGUGCCUCAGACAUGCAAGUCGAACGCGAAAGUUCCCUUCGGGGAAUAAGUAGAGUGGCGCACGGGUGAGUAACACGUAGGUAAUCUACCUUCGGGUGGGGAAUAACCCAGGGAAACUUGGGCUAACACCGCAUGAUGCAGCGGCACCACAUGGUGACAGUUGUUAAAGCGGGGGAUUUUCGGACCUCGCGCCUGAAGAGGAGCCUGCGGCGGAUUAGCUAGUGGUGAGGUAACGGCUCACCAAGGUCACGAUCCGUAGCCGGCCUGGAGGGGGGCGGUCGGCCACACUGACACUGACAUACGGGUCAGACUCCUACGGGAGCAGCAGUCGGGAAUUUUGGGCAAUGGGCGAAAGCCUGACCCAGCAACG
rnacentral:rRNA from 1 species